rnacentral:lncRNA from 1 species
CUUAAAUUGUCAGUACAACUUAAAUUAUUGAACCGUGGGAUUUUUUAUUAGGUCAGGUGACCAGAUUGAUGAACGGUAAAAUAAGAUAUAAACAAAAAUGUAAGUAGUAGUCAAACAAAGUGUAAACAACGAAUCAAUAAAAUACUAUAAUUAGAUAACAGAUUGAAUUGAUACGGGCAGAAUUAAAUCCUUCGAUUUGAUACUUUCCUACCGUGAACAAUAGAAAGCGAG